UGACCGGAGACGAAGAGGACGAGGACGACUGACUGAGGAGGCUCCAGAGGAAUGGGUUCCUGGCUUCAAUGUACUGAGCGGCUUUGGACUUAACCACCGCAGGAACAGGAAGUGAGGUGGAAGCAGAAACAGGAAGUGAGGUGGAAGCAGGAAGAGGAAAUGAGGCGGAAGCAGGAACAGGAAGUGAGGU